rnacentral:lncRNA from 1 species
CAUGGACUCUUUUCUUGGUCAUGGAAGGUUUUUUAAAAAUCAAUAUUUACUGUGGAUUCUAAGAAUGUUCACUUGGGGUGUGUCUCCAUGUAAUAAAAGCAUCUAGGCAGAAAAAUGUAGGCAACACUAUUGGUUAGUAUUUAUGUUUUCAAAGAGGUUGUUGGGAUUUUUUUUUAGUAAUAUCUAUUAUUUGCUAUUGGUUGAGGGAAAGUCCCAGAUAGUCUAGUUUCAGCUAUAAAUGUUAUUAAAUAUUUUUCUUACCAGUUUUCUGACUUUUUUUUGGUUAUUUUUGUUGUUUUUCUAUUUCCAUCUUAUAUACUCCCUUGGCAGGCAGUGUUCCCUUGAGGGUCCUCGAAGAUAAACUUGUUGUGUGAAAGCAAACAAAAACAUCUAACAACAACAACAACAAAAUGGUGCAUCCAAAUCACAUAUUUUGCAAUUAAUUAUUCUAUAAAAAUGAAAAUGAUUGAUGCAGUCCCUCUUCUUUGAAUGUUACAACAUUGGUUUUUGAGAUGAUCAUACCUUGAGUCUUGAAUUCUGUUCCCAUCCCCAAACACAUUAUUAAAUGAAGGGAAGAUAAAUUCAAAAGGUAAAGUAAGUAAAAUGUGGAUUAAAGAAUCUACCAGGAAGGAGAUCAUUAAAGCAAUAUUCAUCAAGAAUAAUUUUAAAUAUAUCAGUCUACAGCUUUCAGAGAAAAUAUAAAAUGUUUAAAAUAGAGGUAACACAAAAAUAAAAAUUAUAACUAAUUAUAGAAUUUUUAUUACCAAUACCUAUCCCUUAAUCUGAUCUCAUUUCCUAAUACUCUUCUUUCUACACUUGCUACCUAGUAAUGCCUACAAUAAAUGCUAAACGUGGUUUCAAACAUGCCACUUUGUCCACUCAAUAACUCUUUG